rnacentral:lncRNA from 1 species
CACUGAAAAUCGCCUUAACUUCCUACGUCCUGAGACCUCAUUCCUAGAUGGAACGAGGAAUGGUAGCGACCACGAUCCUCCCCUCCCAGGAUCUGCGCCACAAGGGAAGAUCAGAACCUUCAGCUGCCAGAAGCACUGUGGCGGAAAUGUAGGUCCCCAUCCAGGCUGAUCUGAGCUUGGCUUUCUGGAGCACGCAAACCUCGAUGCACUGAACUGCUGCCGGACCUCACCUUGCCAGGCCCACUGUGCUCACACUCACACAUCGCUC